GUCAUAUAUCCCCCUCUAAAGCCCAAAUUUCUUCCCCAUCCAUUACCUAUCUUGGCAGAGUCCUUCAUCAAAGCACACAUACUCUCCCUGCUAACUGUGUACAGCUAAUCUCCAAAAACUCCAACCCCUUCUACAAAGCAACAACUCCUUUCCUUCCUAGGCAUGGUUGGAUACUUUCGCCUUUGGAUACCAGGUUUUGCCAUCCUAACUAAACCACUAUAUAAACUCACAAAGGGAAACCUGACUGACCCCAUAGACCUAAGUCCUUUCCCCACUCUUCUUUUCAUUCCUUAAAGACAACCCUAGAAACAGUCCCCACAUUAGCACUCCCUAACUCGUCCCAAUCCUUCUUAUUACAUAUAGCUGAAAUACAAGGCUGUGCGUUCAGAGUUUUUACACAGGAUCCAGGCCCAUGACCUGUAGCCUUCCUGUCCAAACAACUUAACCUCACAGUUCUAGGCUGGCCCUCAUGUCUACGUGCAGCAGCAGCUGCCGCUUCAAUACUUCUGGAGGACCUCAAGCUCACAAACCAUGCCCCACUUACUCUCUACAGCUCUCAUAACUUUCAACAUCUAUUUUCCUACUCACACUUGGUGUAUAUACUUUCCACCCCCUAACUCCUCCAACUCUACUCACAAUUCAUUGAAACUCCCACAAUUACCAUUGUUCCUGGCACAGACUUCACCCCAUCCUCUCACCUUAUACCCAGCACCAAACCUGAAUCUCAUGAUUGUAUCUCCCUAAUCCAUGUGGCAUCCUCCCCAUUUCCCCAUAUUUCCCUCUUUCCUGUUCCUAAUCCAGACCACACUUGGUUUAUUGAUGGUAGUUCUUCAAGGCCCAAUCAUCAGUCACCAGCAAGGGCAGGCUAUGCUGUAGUGUCUUCCACAUCUGUCAUUGAAGCUACUGCCUUGCCCCCUUCCACUACCUCUCAACAAGCCAAACUCAUUGCUUUAAACUGGGCCCACACCCUUGCAAAGGGACUAUGUGUCAAUAUCUACACUGAUUCCAAGUAUGCCUUCCACAUCCUACAUCACCAUGCUGUUAUAUGGGCAGAAAGAGGUUUUCUCACUACACAAGGGUCCUCCAUCAUCAACUGCCUUUAUAAAAAUCCUCCUUAAGGCUGCUUUACUGCCCAAAGAAGCUGAAGUCAUUCACUGCAAGGGGCAUCAGAGGUCACCAGAUCCCAUUGCUUGAGGCAACACUUAUGCUGAUAUGCAGCAAAAGAAGCAGCUAGUAUUCCCACAUCUGUCCCUCACAGCCAGUUUUCUUCCUUCUCAUCUAUCACUCCCACCUAUUCUCCCACUGAAACUAUUACCUAUUAAUCCAUUCCUACUCAUGAAACUAUUACCUAUUAAUCCAUUCCUACUCAAGGCAAAUGGUUCUUGGAUCAAGGAAAAUUCCUCCUUCCUGCCUCACAGGCUCAUUCUAUCUUAUCAUCCUUUCAGAACCUCUUUCAUGUGGGUUACAAGCCAAUGGCCCAUCUCUUAGAACCUCUCAUUUCUUUUCCAUCAUGGAAAUCCAUCCUCAAGGAAAUUACUUCUCAGUGUUCCAUCUGCUACUCUACCACCACUCAGGGAUAUCUCACGCCCCCUCCCUUUCCUACACAUCAAGCUAGAGGAUUUGCCCCAACCCAGGACUGGCAGACUGACUUUACCCAUAUGCCCCAAGUCAAAAACUAAGGUACCUUUUGGUCUGGGUAGAUACAUUCACUGGAUGGGUAGAGGCCUUUUCCACAGGGUCUGAGAAGGCCACCACAGUCGUUUCUUCCCUUCUGUCAGACAUAAUUCCUCGGUUUGGCCUUCUGACCUCUAUAUAGUCUGAUAAUGGACCGGCCUUCAUUAGUCAGGUCACGUAAGCAGUCUCCCAGGCUCUCAGCAUCCAGUGGAAACUUCAUACCCCCUUACCAUCCUUCAUCUUUGGGAAAGGUAGAAAGAACUAAUGGUCUUUUAAAAACACACCUCACCAAGCUCAGCCUCCAACUUAAAAAAGACUGGACAGCACUUUUACCAUUUGCCCUCCUUAGAAUUAGAGCCUAUCCUCAAGAAGCUACAGGAUAUAGUCCAUUUGAACUUUCAUACGGAUGUACUUUCUUGCUGGGCCCCAACCUCUUGACAGACACCAGCCCUCUAGGCGACUAUCUUCUGGUACUCCAGCAGGCUAGACAGGAAAUUCUCCAGGCUGCUAAUCUUUUCUUGCCUACUCCAGAUUCCCAGCAAUAUGAAGACACCCUAGCUGGAUGAUCAGUUCCUGUUAAGAAUAUGACCCCUCAAACCUUGAUGGACUGGACCCUGCUUAGUCAUCUAUAGUACCCCAACUGCUGUCUGCCUGCAGGACCCUCUGUAUUGGGUUCACCAUUCCAGAAUAAAGCUGUGUCUGCCAGCCAGCCAGCCUGAUCUCUCCUCUUCCUCCUGGAAAUCGCAAGUACUCUCCCCUGCUUCCCUUAAACUCACUUGCAUUUCUGAAGAACAGUAAUAACCCUUAUGAGCCUAAUAUAUCCCUUCAUUCUAUUAGGUCUAUUCAUCCUUACCCUACUUUUUGCAACAGGGCUUUACACAGUCACCCCCACUACUUGGACUGUGCCCCAAAAACUUGUCAUCCCUACUAUCUUCUGUCUAGUCAUACUCCUAUUCACCAUUCUCAACUACUCAUAAAUGCCCUGCCCUUGUUUACACUGCCAGUUUACACUUUUCCUCCAAACCAUCAUAACUGAUAUCUCCUGGUUUUACCUCAAACCGCCACCCUUAACUCUCUCUGGGAGUGGAUAGAAGCUCUUCAGUGGCAAGGUACACUCCAAUUCCUCUAUCCUGAUAAAGUCCUUUUUUUUUUUUUUUUUUUUACUUUUCUACUUACUCUUAUCCUUGACCCCAUUCUCCAGUCACUAUCUACCUCUCCCUAGUUACCUCCAGCAUACUAUCAAUCUCACCCACUCUCUCCUCACUGCCUCCAAUCCUUCUCUAGCAAAGAAUUGUUGGCUAUGUGUUUCCCUUUCUUCCUGCUCUUACAAGUCCCCGCUCUACAGGCCGACUGGGCUACCUCUCCUGUCUCCCUGCACCUCCAAACCUCCUUUACCUCAUCUUUACCCUCCUGAGGAACUUCUUUACUUUCUAGACAGAUUUGGUGAGAACUCCCCAGACAUUUCACACCAACAAGCUGCCACACUUCUCCGCAUCUACUUAUGGUACCUUUCUCCUUAUGUCAAGUCCACCCCCCCCCAAAUUUGGACCCCUAACCACACAAACAACUAUCCCUGUUGCUGCUCCUUUUUGCAUCUCCUGACCACAGCCUACUGGAAUCCCUUUAGGCAACCUUCCACCGUCCAAAUGUUCCUUUACUCUUUAUCUCCAGAACCCAGCCACACACACUACCAAACAGAUGGGAGCAUUCCAACUUCGCAUUGCUGAUAAGCCCUCUAUCAUUAUUGACAAACUAAAAAACAUUGGCAGUCACUAUUGUUUAGGAAGACACCUACCCUGCAUCUCACUCCAUCCUUGGCUACCCUCCGCUUGCUCAUCUGACUCUCCUCCUGACUCCUCCUCUUGCUUGCUUAUACCCAGCCCCAUCAAUAGCAGUGAAAGGUUACUCAUAGAUACUAUGCUCUUUCUCAUAUACCAUGAGAACCAAACCUUUCAUCUACACAAUUGCACCAUCAAUCCCCAUUACAACCUCUAACAGCUGCUGUCCUUGCUGGAUCUCUAGGAUUUGGGGUGCAGGACUCCUCUUUCAGUACACCCUCUCACCUUUUCACUUUACAUUUCCAGUUCUGCCUGACACAAGGUUUCUUCUUUUUAUGUGGCUCUUCCACCUACAUGUGCCUACCUGCCAGCUAGAUGGGCACAUGUACUCUAGUCUUCCUUACUCCCAAAAUCCAGUUUGUAGAUGGGAAUGAACAACUGCCUGUCCCCCUCAUGACACCAACAUGACAAAAAAGAGUCAUCUCACUAAUCCCUUUGCUUGUGGGUCUAGGACUUUCUGCCUCCACUCUUGCACUUGGAACUGGAAUAGCAGGCAUCUCAACCUCUGUCACAGCAUUCCGCAGCCUCUCUAAUGACUUCUCUGCUAGCAUUACAGAUAUAUCACAAGCUUUAUCUGUCCUCCAAGCCCAGGUUGACUCUUUAGCUGCAGUUGUCCUGCAGAACCGCCAAGGCCUCAAUUUACUCACUGCUGAAAAAGGAGGACUCUGUAUAUUUCUUAAUGAAGAGUGUUGUUUUUACUUAAAUCAAUCUGGCCUGGCAUAUGGUAACAUCAAAAAACUCAAAGACAGAGCUCAAAAACUCACUAAUCAGGCAACUAAUUAUGCUGGACCCACCUGGUCACUCUCUAACUGGGUAUCCUGGCUUGUUCCAAUCAUUAGUCCUGUAAUACCUAUCUUCCUCCAUCUCUUAUUCGGGCCUUUUGUCUUCCGAUUAAUCUCUCAAUUCCUACAAAACUGCAUCCAGGCUAUCACUAAUCACUCUAUAUGACAAGUGCUGCUUUUAACAAGCCCACAAUAUCACCCCUUACCCCAAAAUCUUACUUCAGUCUAAUCUCUCCCACUUUAGGUUCCCAUGCCACCCCUAAUCCCACUUGAAGCAGCCCUGAGAAACAUCGCCCAUCACCCCUCCAUACCGCCCCCAAAAUUUUCACCUCAAGUUUUCAUUAAUCUUUCUUGUUUUAUUUCUUCAUUAUUAACAUAAAAAGACGGGAAUAUAAGGUCCUCUGAGCUGGCCGCACCAUGGUCAAGCCAUCGUGACAUUCCCCUGCCCUUGUGAUAAUGUACUUUGUGAUAUUCCCCAUCCUUGUGAAUGUACUUUGUAACAUUCCUCCCCGCCCUUGUGACAGUACACCCUCCCCACCCUUGCAAAUGUACUUUGUAACAUUCCCCCCUGCCCCUGUGAAUGUACUUUGUAACAUCCAUCCCCUGCCCACAAAAAAUUGCUCCUGACUCCACUGCCUAUCCCAAACCUACAAGAACCAAUGAUAAUCCCACCACCCUUUGCUGACUCCUUUCUCAGAUUCAGCCCACUUGCACCCAAGUGAAUAAACAGCCUUGUUGCUCACACUAAGCCUGCUCAAGUGGUCUCUUAUAUGGACACGUGUAACAAGCUCAACGUUCCCCAUGAUAAUUUCUCCCAUGUCAACAUUGCUGAAAUUUUCAAUAUGUGGAGGACAGUUACUGCUGGUUGCCUCUAUUGGUAGAUAAUCAUAUUUCUCAAAGUUAAUCCCAGUGUUUUCUCCAGAAAAGAGUACCUGCUCCAAGCAUUCACUUGGUGGAAGUGGUUUUGACCAAUAAUCUUUAUCUGACUUGUCACACCAAUGACUGUGUCCACUCCAUUCAAAUUUGCCAAAGCCAAUUCUGUCACCAUAACUGCCAAUACCAUCAUAGUCACUCCAUCCAGGAUCAUCACAUCUUCCCCUUGAUCCACUUCCACAAUCACUGAAAUAACCAGGCUUUCCUCUUGAAUCUCGAGACCCAAAACUGCUAUAUGCAUCCUUAUUUUUGCUACAACUCCAAUCUGAACUGUCUUUAUCAUGGAAUCCUUUAGAUCCUUCUCUGUUCCUUAAGUGAGGGGGUAUAUAGCACUCUUGGCUUGCUGUACUUCCUCCACUCUGUUUAUCAGAGGAGUUCAGGUCCAGAUGAGCAAACUGCUCCUCCAGGUCGAGGGCAUUUUCUACCACCACAUGACUCAUCCCUGAAGAGAAGUGGAAAAUCAAGGUCGUCCACCAUAAGUAUGAGACCAAAUAUCCUAGUUUGUUCAUUUUUAAAAAUUAUUUCUUUAUUUCCCCCCACCCCCACCCCACUGGGUUAGCUCAAAUGGCCAGUCUUCAAGCUCUGAAAUUCUUUCUUCUGCUUGGUCUAGUCUAGUCUAAUGAUAAAUCUUUCAAUUGCAUUUUGAUAUUCUUUAAGUAAGUUUUUCAAUUCCAGAAGCUCUGAUUGAUUUCUUUUUAAGGUGCUUAUCUCUUCCUUCGUUUCCUGGAUCGUGUUAGUAGUUUCUUUUUGUUGAUUUUCAAUCUCGUCUUGAACAUCUUUGAGUUUUCUUGCAAUCCAUGGUUUGAAUUCUUUAGCUGACAUUUCUGAGUUUCCAUUUUAGUUGAGGGCCAUUGUUGGAGAGCUAGUGUGAUCUUCUGGUGGUGACACAACAUUCACAUUUUUCAUGGUGCCAGAAUUUUUGUGUGGGUUCUUUCUCCUUUGGAGAUAACUGGCAUUUCUAAUUUUUGUAAUUAUUUUCCUAUAGAUACAAUUCCCCCCCUUUCAAUCUGUAUAUUAUUGUUUUUUCUUCUUCUUUCCCUUUCUCCUCCUUGACAGAGGAUGUGACUAUAGAGUAUGUUGGAGAGGGUCUUUUGGCUUUACUUCCAUAUUGAUACAUAAUUCUGUCAGCAGGUUUCAUAUUGGGCUGUGUAGUUCAACCUACAUGCUGGUAUAUGGUGUUAAAGCAAACUAAAUAUGGCCUGAGAAGGACUCUGUACUUCUAUAUUUGAGUCCUUGUGGAUGAACUGUAACCUAGCUUAAUAGGCAGACAAAAUGGAAAACCUAACUUAGUAGUAUGCACUUGUAACAAUAGCUAAGCCUUAGCCAAUCCCAGCGGCCAUACUUUAACCAUUCAUAUACUGCUGAGUGUUCAAACUAUGUUCAAAGAAGGCAUACAUUGAGCUGUAACCAGUCCAGCUGUUCUGUACCUCACUUCCAAUUUCUGUAUGUCAUGUCCCUUUUUUUGUCUAUAAAUCUUCCACUAUGUGGCUGCACUGGAGUCUUUGUGAAUCUGCUGUGAUUCUAGGGGCUGCCCAAUUCACAAAUUGUUCAUUGCUAAAUUAAACUUUUAAAAAUAUAAUUCAACUGAAGUUUUUCUUUUAUCAAUGGUUUUAUGGUUCAGAGCUAGUGGUUGUACAACAGAUGGAUAUGUAACUGAUCUUUGUUUACUGUGAGGUGCUCUGUGUUGUUUCAGCUAAUGGGCUGAAGCAUGAAGUUCUCUGUGACAUGUGCUUCCUGUUCUGUGGGGGUAGGGGGACACAGCUAGGCAGAGCUGGAACUUCUGGCUUACCCUCAAAUACUCCUAUGUCAAGUGCAGGCACCAGCCCUAAUGGAGGUGGCUAGGAGUGUGAGGAGCUCCUAAUGAAAUGUGCUGAAGUUUUUGUGUGGGACUGUGGGGCGCUGCACAAGCCCCUUGUCGUAAAGAGACAAGAAUAUGAACUGUUGCCUUAUCACAACCCGGUUCCAGAGCUCAUGACUCUUAGAUGAGUCACAUACUGUAGUCUGUCUCUGGGCCACAGUGUGGCUGAGAGCCUUGGGGACUGCUUAAUUCGUGACUCUCCAUGGGAGUGGUUUUGGGGCAGAACUUCAUCACUCAGCCUAAUUAAUAUAAAUAGCUUCACAGCUUCCCUGUUCUCCAAUGUGAUAUCAUUACUUCUUUGUGUAAAAGGGGGUGAGUCUGCCUUUGGGUCUGUGUGUUGGUUAUGGCGAUAUCAGCUGGUUGUGUCAGUUGGACCUCAGGCUCUGAGGGAAGUGGUCAGAUGUCAGCAGAAUUUGAAUGGGGUAGGUAGUUCUCUAACUCCCCAGCCCCUAGAUUGCUGGUCGUGAUGGUAAGGGGCAGUCUGGUCCCUGGGUCACUGGCUGAACUCUUAGGUAGGGUUAGGCAGAGCACUUAGGCAGUGAGAGCCUAAGGGAAGAUCACAGGCUUGUGGGGGUAAGGAUUUUAGUAGGGCUCUGGACCACAGAUGAAAUAGUCAUGUAGGGAUUGAGUAGGUACACUGGAAGCCAGAAGGCAUCAAACCCCAUUUGGGAGGGUGCCCUGGUGGUGGUGGGUCACGCAGGAAGCAUUCUGGCUGCCUCUGCAGGGUAGCUGCUGGUAUGCUGGAGGCUUGCAUAAGGGCUCAGGCUUUUUGUUUCCUCCCCAGCCUGGGGGCAGUAAGGGUGGGGACUGUGGUGGCUGCAACCACACCUCUCAGUUGCCUCAGGGAGCUCCACCCCAGAAAAAUGCAGAGCCACAGCUGAUCAGAGUGAUCAUGUCUGGGCUGGGCAGCUAUCCUAUGGGCCCCAGCAGUGUGGGGCCCAAGCAGUUAAGGGCAAGGGGAGCCUGCUUGCCGAAGAGCAGGGCGAGAGAUGGUUCUUGUGUAAAUAAGUCUGUCCUCUUUCUACAUAGGGUAGAUGCACAGGUGCUAUGUGCUGGAGGUGUCAGUGAAAGCAAUCAGGCUCUUCGUUCCCUCCCUAGCCUGUGGGCAGCAAGGGCGGGUACCCUGGCCCCAGCAAUGGAAGAAGGCCUGUGAGUUUCUUCUGGGAGCUCCACCCCAGAGAAAUGCUGAGCCAAGACUGGCCCGAGUGCUCAGGAGAUGGUGGAAUGGCUGCGCUGCAGGCCCCAUUUGGGAGGCCCUGUCAUGUGAGGAGCUGCAGAGAUGGGGCCUGCAGUCCGUCUGCUUCUCAUCACUGUGGAUGCAAUCUCUAUCCUAGGGGCAUGUGAAAGAGCCCGUCCUUCCUUGUUGGCAGGUCUAUGCAAGCUGGUGCCUGGGUGCUCAGUGAUCCAAGGUCCUUGGGGCUUCACAUGACCUUGAGUGACGGCUCUGCCCAGACUCCAGGUGUUUCUUUGUGUCAGUCUGGAGGCCUGGGGGGUUGGGAGGAUCUCCCAUUCCUAGGAUUGCAAAGGUCAAUGGAGGAAUUGUGGGUCCCUGGGGCUCUUCCUCACUCACCCUUUCCCUGUGGUAGUGAGCUUCCACUGCCUCUGCGCCAGUUCCAGGUGGGUGGCUGCUCUGCUUCAUUCCUCUCUGUUCUCCAUGGGUCCCGUUGCUUCUGUUACGAGUCCCAAUGCGUUCUCGUGGAUGAUCCAUUUGAAGAACUAGUGUUUACUAGCCAUUCUGUUUCUUCUUCAUGAGAGCAGAGCGCACUACCUGCUUCUAGUCAGCCAUCUUUAUUCUCUACUAUUAUAUCCCACUUUUAUUAUUUUUGAUAUGAAUACAUAUAUUUUUUUAUUGUGGUAAAAAGCAUAUAACAUAAAAUUUACCAUUUUAUUCAUUUUUAAGUGUAGAGUUCAGUACUGUUAAGUAUAUUCACUUUUUCGUGAAAUAAAUAUAAAGGUAUAAAUUUUAAAUUUAAUGUUUUUUUCUACUUAUUCACUGAGUUGAAUUAUUAUCUGAAUUAGUUUUAUCAUUGAUUCUUUGAAAUUUUCCAGAUAUACUAUUAUUAUUAACCACAUUUAUAUCUGUAUUUCUUCUGUCUUCCCUGAUUGCAUUUGAAUAAUACCUCUAAUAUAAUGUUAAAUUAGAGCAGAAAUAGUGGGCAUUUUUGUCUUGAUCUUAUUGAAAAUGCUUUUAGUAUUUCUCCAUUCAAUUAGACACUGGAUUUAGGACUAAGGUAUGAGUAUUUUAUUAUGUUAAAAAUAUCGCUUAUUUCUUACUAUCUUGGAUGUCUUUUUACAUUUAACAUGGAUGGGCGUUUUCUCCAAUUGUUUUUGCCGUAUCUGUGGGGAUAGUAAUAAUUUUCCUCUUAGAUCUAUUAAUAUUGUUUAUGAUAUAAAUGAAUUUCCUAAUAUUAAACCUACCUUGAAAUUUUGCUAUAAAUCCAAUUUGCUAAUGAUGUAUUAUUUUCUUCACAUCUUGUUAGAUUCUGUUUACAAGUAUCUUAUUUAGUUUUUUUGCAUCGACUUUUCUGACUGACAUUGGUCUACAAUUGUUUUAAUACUGUCCUUAUCUAGCUUAAGUGUGUGUUAUACUUGGUACAUGAAAGGAGUUACAAUAUUUUUCUUCUUUUUCAAGAAGAAGUUUGAUGUUUUGGUAGAAGUCUCAUGUGAAACAACUGCACCGGUUGCUUUUUUUUGUGAACUAGUUUCUUAAUAACUUUAUUUCUUCUAUGAAAUUGUUCUGUUUAAACAUUUUAACUCUAAUGGAUUCAAUUUUGGCAGUCUGUAUUUUAUUAAAAGAUUAUUUAUCUUCUCCAGGCUUUCAAAUUUAUUUGCAUAGAGGUCUAAAAAAUAUUGUAAUUUUAUUAUUAUUUUUUGUUUCAAUAGUUAUUUCCUCCUGAAUAUUUCUUGGUUUGUUAGUGCAUUCUCCUACUUCUCCUGAACAAAUUAUCUAGUGAUUUGUCAAUUUUCUUAAUCUUUUCAACAAACCAGGAAUUUUGUUUAUUAGUUUAAUUAAUUUAUUUUAAAGGUCUCCUACCUUACUGAUUUCUGCUUUAUUAUUUCCCUUUGCUUAUUUUGAUUUACUUUAUUGUCCUUUUAUUCAGUUUUUGAUGCUUGGAAUUUAAUUAAUAUAUUUUCAAUCUUUGCUUUUUUAUUGAUUAAAGUGUUUAGUUCAAUGAAUUUUCCUCUGAGCACUGCUUUACAUACAUCCCAUAGAUGCUGAUAUGUAGUGGGUUUUUUGUUAUUAUAAUUUAUUAACUUCUGUCAUUGUAGUUUGCAUUUCCCCUUGCACACACUAAACUUGUUUAAUGGGAUGUUUUAAAUUUCCAGGUGGAAGAAUCUUUCUGGGUGUUUUUGUUUUGUUUUUGUUAGUAAUAUCUUGUUUUAUUGCAUUAUCACCUGUAUUGUUUAUAAUAUUUAUAUUUUAUAAAAUUGCAGAUUAUUUUGCUGAUCAAUUGAUCAAUAUUUGUAAAUGGAUCAUGAGCCCAUAUACUACUCUAAUACUCAUGCAAAUAUUCUCUAUUAGGAGCAUGUAUAGUUUAAUAUAUAUCCCUAACAUUUACCCUAAGGAUUAUGUUGUCUAUCUUUUUUCUCUCCUUAGUCAUUUUUUCCCCUAAUUGAUCUGUCAUGAACUGAGAGUGAUGUAUUAAGGUCUCCAAUUAUUAACAUAUUCUAUCUAUAUUAUUGACCCUCAUUAGGUUUUACUUUAUCAAGGUGGUUGCUGUUUUUGAUGCAUAGACAUUCAUAAGUUAUAUACCUUGAUUGUUAAUUGUGGCUUAUAGCAUUUAAGAUUGAUAUUUGUUAUGAUUAAUGCCUUUGGGCUUGAAUUCUACUUUGCCUGAUAUCAGGUAACUAUUACUACUUUCAUUUUGCUUCAAUUUGUCUACUGUUUUCUUGUUCAUUACUGUAUUUUUAGCCUUCUAAAACACUUCUUUCACGUAUGUUUCUUGCAUAUAAUAUAUGAUUGGAUCUUAUUUUAUAAGUCAAGUUGUAGAGCUUUGUAUUUUAGAAAGGUAAGCCUAUUUACAUUUAUUGAUAUGACUUGUAGAUUUAGAUACAAAUCUGUUAUUUUAUACUAUGGCUAAUUUGAUGUAUUUGCUAUGUUUGUCUCUAUGAAAGCUGUAGCCUGUGUUUUUAAAUAUAUAUGUUUUCAUA
rnacentral:lncRNA from 1 species